rnacentral:rRNA from 1 species
UACAGAGGUCUCAAGCGUUGUUCGGAUUCAUUGGGCGUAAAGGGUGCGUAGGUGGCGGGGCAAGUCUGGUGUGAAAUCCCGGGGCUCAACCCUGGAACUGCACUGGAUACUGCUUUGCUAGAGUACUGGAGAGGGAACUGGAAUUUACGGUGUAGCAGUGAAAUGCGUAGAGAUCAUGAGGAAGACCAGUGGCGAAGGCGGGUCGUCUGGACAGUUCCUGACACUGAGACACGAAGGCCAAGGGAGCAAACGGG